GGCCUACACAUGCAAGUCGAGCGGUAGAGAGAAGCUUGCUUCUCUUGAGAGCGGCGGACGGGUGAGUAAUGCCUAGGAAUCUGCCUGGUAGUGGGGGAUAACGUUCGGAAACGGACGCUAAUACCGCAUACGUCCUACGGGAGAAAGCAGGGGACCUUCGGGCCUUGCGCUAUCAGAUGAGCCUAGGUCGGAUUAGCUAGUUGGUGAGGUAAUGGCUCACCAAGGCGACGAUCCGUAACUGGUCUGAGAGGAUGAUCAGUCACACUGGAACUGAGACACGGUCCAGACUCCUACGGGAGGCAGCAGUGGGGAAUAUUGGACAAUGGGCGAAAGCCUGAUCCAGCCAUGCCGCGUGUGUGAAGAAGGUCUUCGGAUUGUAAAGCACUUUAAGUUGGGAGGAAGGGUUGUAGAUUAAUACUCUGCAAUUUUGACGUUACCGACAGAAUAAGCACCGGCUAACUCUGUGCCAGCAGCCGCGGUAAUACAGAGGGUGCAAGCGUUAAUCGGAAUUACUGGGCGUAAAGCGCGCGUAGGUGGUUUGUUAAGUUGGAUGUGAAAUCCCCGGGCUCAACCUGGGAACUGCAUUCAAAACUGACUGACUAGAGUAUGGUAGAGGGUGGUGGAAUUUCCUGUGUAGCGGUGAAAUGCGUAGAUAUAGGAAGGAACACCAGUGGCGAAGGCGACCACCUGGACUAAUACUGACACUGAGGUGCGAAAGCGUGGGGAGCAAACAGGAUUAGAUACCCUGGUAGUCCACGCCGUAAACGAUGUCAACUAGCCGUUGGAAGCCUUGAGCUUUUAGUGGCGCAGCUACGCAUUAAGUUGACCGCCUGGGGAGUACGGCCGCAAGGUUAAAACUCAAUGAAUUGACGGGGCCCGCACAAGCGGUGGAGCAUGUGG
rnacentral:rRNA from 1 species